rnacentral:rRNA from 1 species
AUUCCAGCUCCAAUAGCGUAUAUUAAAGUUGUUGCGGUAAAAAAGCUCGUAGUUGGAUUUCUGUUGAGAACGACCGGUCCACUCAACGAGUGCGCAUCUGGUUCGGUCUCGGCAUCCUCUCAAAAAACGACUCUGCGCUUGAUUGCGUGGAUCGGAGUUUGGGACUUUUACUUUGAGGAAAUUAGAGUGUUCACGGCAGGCUAUCGCCAGAAUACAUUAGCAUGGAAUAAUACUAUAGGAUCUUGAUCCUAUUUUGUUGGUUUCUAGGAGCAAGAUAAUGAUUAAUAGGGACAAUUGGGGGCAUUCGUAUCAACACGUCAGAGGUGGAAUUCUUGGAUUGUGUUGCGACGAACUACUGCGAAAGCAUUUGCCAAGGAUGUUUUCAUUG